rnacentral:lncRNA from 1 species
UGGGUGGUUGCUUACCGUCCAGUGGCAAAUAUUUCAUGCAUAUUCAGGACAAGAACAAGUUAACAAUAAAUACAAUAGGUAGGUGGAUAUAGUAGAGGCCAUCUGAGAUGAUGGUCGGGGAAAUUUUAACUGCCACUGGAAAAUGAGGGUAUAUUGGAUAGGAACAGAAAUUUUGCCUUGCAACAGGACACCUACGGCCCCCUCAAUGAGUUGUUGCAAGGGUUCUUAACGUGCAAUGAGCGUGGCACUCUCUUUACACGAGGCAUCGGAUUUAACGUCCCCCUUCUGACCGGACGUGACUGCGAACUUGAUACAUCCCGCACAGCCAAACGGACGCCCCACUUCG